GCUAAUCAAAUUUUCACUGUCCGGUUAAUUAUUUUGGGCAUUAAUAUCUACAUAUUCGAUUAAAUAUCCUAUUUAUCCGACAAAAAUAUAAUUAUUAAUUCAAUAUAGAAAUUUUAUUAGCGGUUUUUGCAAAAUUGACCUACAACUUAAAGUCAAACACAAAACUAACCUCUUUUUUUUUUUUGAAAAUUGGUUUUGCCCUAUUCAUCCCACAAGUUCACAUAAUUUACGAAAAUACCAUCAAUUUUUUUUUUUUCGAAAAUGACAUUUUUACUCUCUCACCCUCAUCAUCUUCAAGUAAUUACAAGAUUGCCA
rnacentral:lncRNA from 1 species